rnacentral:rRNA from 1 species
UGCGUAGGUGUCAAGCGUUGUCCGGAAUAACUGGGCGUAAAGGGUGCGUAGGUGGCUAGUUAAGUUAAAUGUGAAAGCCCGGGGCUCAACUCCGGAAUUGCAUUUAAUACCGGUUAGCUAGAGUUCAGGAGGGGUAAGCGGAAUUCCUAGUGUAGCGGUUAAAUGCGUAGAUAUUAGGAGGAACACCAGAGGCGAAGGCGGCUUACUGGACUGACACUGACACUGAGGCACGAAAGCGUGGGGAGCAAACAGG